UAUCCGGAAUAUUGGGCGUAAAGCGCGCGCAGGCGGUUUCUUAAGUCUGAUGUGAAAGCCCACGGCUCAACCGUGGAGGGUCAUUGGAAACUGGGGAACUUGAGUGCAGAAGAGAAAAGCGGAAUUCCACGUGUAGCGGUGAAAUGCGUAGAGAUGUGGAGGAACACCAGUGGCGAAGGCGGCUUUUUGGUCUGUAACUGACGCUGAGGCGCGAAAGCGUGGGGAGCAAACAGGAUUAGAUACC
rnacentral:rRNA from 1 species